UCAGUACAACUUAGGGUUGAA
ensembl:piRNA 21ur-1654 ncRNA